GACGAACGCUGGCUGCGUGCCUAAUACAUGCAAGUAGGACGCAGUUGCGAACGGGUGAGUAACGCGUAGGUAACUACCUAUUAGAGGGGGAUAACUCUUGGAAACGAUAGCUACUACCGCCUACGAGUAGAUGGACCUGCGUUGUAUUAGCUAGUAGGUAGGGUAAUGGCCUACCUAGGCAAAGGUACAGAGCCGAAGUGGGAGGGUGAUGAGCCAACCCCGGACUGGAACACGGCCAAGACUCCUACGGGAAGCAGCAGUAGGGGAUCGUCGGCAAUGGGGGUAACCCUGACCGAGCAACGGCGAGUGAGUGAAGAAGGUUUUCGGUUCGUAAAGCGUUGUUGUUAAGGAAGCGGUACUUAACCAGAAAGGGACGGCUAACUACGUGCCAGCAGCCGCGGUAAUAC
rnacentral:rRNA from 1 species